UGGUGAAGCAAUAGCUUUAAAUGUUGUUUCUCUUUAUAUAGCAACUCAAUUUGUGCUAUAGUUUUACUAGGCUAAGCUGUAUAUUGAUGUAAAUAUAAUAAAUAAUAAAUAUAAUAAAUAUUUUACUAACAAUCACGCCACGUUAACUGGUCCCGUGAUAAGUUCGUAAAGAACUUGUGUUACAGGUACCAGAUAACGGAAAUAAAUCACGUUUGCUACAACAGAUAGCUACAAUUAGAUCAUCGAUGGGACAUAUUAUCUGAUAUACAAUCACAAAAAAACUAGCCGCCAUUUAAAAAAAAAAAAAACAAAAACAAAAGCUUCAAAAUAUACAGCUAAUGGACAACAUUCAAAAAGAAAUCGUCAUAGCAACGCAACAUCGAACGGUUCCAAAUUUAAAACGUCAGAGAUUAAGCGAACUUAAAUGAUGAUAGAUGGGCCAUUCAGUGAACGGGAAUUAAAAAUUUCAAAUGUCAUACGAUUAUGAUCAUUAACGGAACGUACACUAAGCCUAUUGUUGCAUAUGUUGGUGUUCAUCGAAACUCAAAAUCUUCUGUUCAAAGAGAUUUUGAACAUUAUUCGAAUAAUCGCAAGGUUGGUAUUACGAUGCACGUUUAUAAAUAAAAACAUUAUUACUGAUAAA